AUACAAAUAGAUAAUAAAGAAACAAAUGUUAAUUCGCCUUUUGUGCGUUCUUCCAGCUUUCCUGGCUUCAGAGAACUGCAAUGUCUGAACUUCCGUUUCUAAGAAAGACUCUAACAUGUGUUGGUAAAUAAAAAACAACCCUUUUAGCUCCACCGAACGCCUUAACUACUAAAAAUAACUCAUAUUCAAAACUACUAGCCUCCCAAUUUCUUUAAAAGACAGGAACAUGGGCAGGAUGUUUACACAGCAGAAUGUAAACAUUUUCCCUGGCCUUCUUUAAAUAAAAGAAUCAAGCAAAGCUUCGCUAGAGGAGCCAAUACUCAUUGUGAUGCCAUUUGACCGGAGUCACCGCGUCGUAAGUAAAUGUUAGUUUUUAUAACAUAACUGUAUUUUCUGAGUCUGUAUGAGGACAUUUACGCACGGGGUGCGAGGGGAGAGCUACAAUAACUCUGAAAGGUUCGAGCAGUGGGCAUCAGUACUGGACUGCAUGCAUCGACUCCUGAAAUGAUAGGCUAUUAGAAUAAAGGUCGCGUCGGCCGGGGACUUGUGACUGGCGCCCACAGGAAGCUGGGAAUUCUGUACAGAAGAGAGGAUGUCUGAAGGGGAGACAUACUGUCCUGUGCCCCCCCCCCCCCCCCCUCCCCUCACCUCCCCCCCCCCCCUCCUCUUCAUGUGACCCCUGACCCCUUGGCGUGUUUAUAUCAGACCAUGGAAGUGAGAAGUAGUGAUGAGUCACCCUGGCUCUGUGUUUACACUCUAGAGUCACGCAAGGAAGGAAAUCAGCCACGGUCUGCUAAAAGCGGCGAGGUGAGAGAAAAUAGCUGCAGACUAGCCCCCCCCCCCACACACACACCCCUCAAGCCCCCCAACACACACGCACAACCCUCCAGCCCCCCCCCCCCCCCCCAACCAAGUUCAGGAUACUCGUCCAUGUCUGAAUUUAUUUACUGCCGGCCAUGCGGCAAGGAAUUGUUUAGCAACAACAAAACUGAAAUGUUUGUAAGCUAGUAAAUUGUUGUCCAGAAAUAGGCGGAGUGGUUAUCAGACUCCUGGGACUAGUCUGCUUAUAAGAGGUGGUCAGCUUUGUGUUUCUUCAGACGCUUACCUCACUUUUAACCCUCAAUAAAACUAGCAGAUUUAGCUAAGGCCCCAGAUGGACAAAUUGUUAUCCUCAUAAACUACAUGGGAAAUUCAUAAAUAUAUUGUAAACUCACAUUGCUUAGAAAGUAUUAAACUAUUUGUGUUUUUUAACUCCAUUACCUACGCUUUUGAAUCAAAUAAAACCUUAAAAUAUA